CGGGACGGGUGAGUAAUGUCUGGGAAACUGCCCGAUGGAGGGGGAUAACUACUGGAAACGGUAGCUAAUACCGCAUAACGUCGCAAGACCAAAGAGGGGGACCUUCGGGCCUCUUGCCAUCGGAUGUGCCCAGAUGGGAUUAGCUAGUAGGUGGGGUAACGGCUCACCUAGGCGACGAUCUCUAGCUGGUCUGAGAGGAUGACCAGCCACACUGGAACUGAGACACGGUCCAG
rnacentral:rRNA from 1 species